CACAAGUGAAACGUUAUUGAAGUUAUCCGAAGCGCGAACGUAAUUGACGAACGUAAUUUUAGACUAUCCAAAGAUGAUCUCGUGUCUUGGAAUAGAACGAAGUACUUACAUCUACUACUACGCGUUUUCACCAUGGCAAAAUCAGACUUUUAAAUCGUCGACCACGUAACCUCGAAGGACACUCGUAACGGCGAUAAACGAAAGUAAAAGCAAUAUUCUAAUCGGGUUAAGCAUGUAUCCAACGUGAGUUUUCGUGACUUUUCCUCUCCCG